GGUAAGCGGUAGGCCAUGGCUGUGAUCAAUCCAUCAGAUGAAACAAAUGAAGAAGAGGGCCAUUUUGGUCUGAAGUCCCGGAUCCUCCGCCCAUGAACCUCAAAAACUCCAAGUGCACCAUUUACUAGUGCAAAUGCAAAGCUUUCUGCUGUGUCAUCCUGAGAAGCAUCUGAGCUAGCUGCCGUAGAUUCUGAUGAGGCAGCCUUUGGGGUAGAUGCUGCAUCUGAAUCUACUGGUUGCUGAUCUUUUGACGACCAUGAAAAUUGCCUAGAAGGACCAUUUUGAACCGUCCGUGGAACUGUUGGAAGAGUCCAUUCCAAUACCGUGAAUGGAAGAGCUAAUGAUCUAAGCAUAAUGGGACUUUUUGUCAUUGCCCAAACCUCCACAGGAGCAUCACGAAACAAAAUAAGAAGAUACCUUCCAGAUGAAGAAGUCCUCAAAGCUCUAAUGGGUGCACGCUCUGGCUUUUGUAAAACCCGAAAUGGUCUGUUAAGGCCACUUCUAAGACAGGUCACAACAAGCUUAUUAAUGUAACCUCCANNNNNNNNNNNNCUGAUUGAAAGAAAAUGAAACCAGUCUAGAAUUUCCAAGCCAUCGUAAUCCUCUAACUGUACCAUUAUGAACUGAGAAACUUGCAGCAACAGCAUUGGCAG
rnacentral:misc_RNA from 1 species